GACGAACGCUGGCGGCGUGCCUAAUACAUGCAAGUAGAACGCUGAAGAGAGGAGCUUACUCUUCUUGGGUGAGUUGCGAACGGGUGAGUAACGCGUAGGUAACCUGCCUUGUAGCGGGGGAUAACUAUUGGAAACGAUAGCUAAUACCGCAUAACAAUGGAUGACACAUGUCAUUUAUUUGAAAGGGGCAAUUGCUCCACUACAAGAUGGACCUGCGUUGUAUUAGCUAGUAGGUGAGGUAAUGGCUCACCUAGGCGACGAUACAUAGCCGACCUGAGAGGGUGAUCGGCCACACUGGGACUGAGACACGGCCCAGACUCCUACGGGAGGCAGCAGUAGGGAAUCUUCGGCAAUGGGGGCAACCCUGACCGAGCAACGCCGCGUGAGUGAAGAAGGUUUUCGGAUCGUAAAGCUCUGUUGUAAGUCAAGAACGGGUGUGAGAGUGGAAAGUUCACACUGUGACGGUAGCUUACCAGAAAGGGACGGCUAACUACGUG
rnacentral:rRNA from 1 species